rnacentral:rRNA from 1 species
CGAAAGCCUGACGGAGCAAGACCGCGUGAGGGAGGAAGGCUCUUGGGUUGUAAACCUCUUUUCUCAGGGAAGAAGUUCUGACGGUACCUGAGGAAUCAGCCUCGGCUAACUCCGUGCCAGCAGCCGCGGUAAUACGGAGGAGGCAAGCGUUAUCCGGAAUUAUUGGGCGUAAAGCGUCCGCAGGGGGCGCAUCAAGUCUGCUGUUAAAGGCUGGAGCUCAACUCCGGUAGAGCAGUGGAAACUGGUGCGCUAGAGGGCGACAGGGGUAGAGGGAAUUCCCGGUGUAGCGGUGAAAUGCGUAGAGAUUGGGAAGAACACCGGUGGCGAAAGCGCUCUACUGGACCAUCACUGACACUCAGAGGACGAAAGCUAGGGGAGCG